rnacentral:rRNA from 1 species
AUUGAACGCUGGCGGCAGGCCUAACACAUGCAAGUCGAGCGGUAGAGAGAAGCUUGCUUCUCUUGAGAGCGGCGGACGGGUGAGUAAUGCCUAGGAAUCUGCCUGGUAGUGGGGGAUAACGUUCGGAAACGGACGCUAAUACCGCAUACGUCCUACGGGAGAAAGCAGGGGACCUUCGGGCCUUGCGCUAUCAGAUGAGCCUAGGUCGGAUUAGCUAGUUGGUGGGGUAAUGGCUCACCAAGGCGACGAUCCGUAACUGGUCUGAGAGGAUGAUCAGUCACACUGGAACUGAGACACGGUCCAGACUCCUACGGGAGGCAGCAGUGGGGAAUAUUGGACAAUGGGCGAAAGCCUGAUCCAGCCAUGCCGCGUGUGUGAAGAAGGUCUUCGGAUUGUAAAGCACUUUAAGUUGGGAGGAAGGGCCAUUACCUAAUACGUGAUGGUUUUGACGUUACCGACAGAAUAAGCACCGGCUAACUCUGUGCCAGCAGCCGCGGUAAUACAGAGGGUGCAAGCGUUAAUCGGAAUUACUGGGCGUAAAGCGCGCGUANGUGGUUUGUUAAGUUGGAUGUGAAAUCCCCGGGCUCAACCUGGGAACUGCAUUCAAAACUGACUGACUAGAG